rnacentral:rRNA from 1 species
AUGCCGGCAACAACGGCCACCGCAGCAUCGGGCCAGUGGGCGGAACUCCCGGCCGACCUGCUCCGCGACAUCGCAUGCCGUCUCCGCACCGCGUCCGACUCCGUCCGCUUCGACGCCGUCUGCAGGCCAUGGCGCGACGCGCUCGAAGUUCAAGAAGGCCUCCUGCCGUGGCUCGUCGCGCCGUCCGAGGCCGCCGACGGCUCCGCGGAGGACCAGCGGUGCCGCUGCAUCUUCUCCAGGACGAGCUACCGCGCGCCCGGUGUCUGCGUCCGGGACAUGAGGGUCGCCUGUGCCAACGGCACGACCGCCUGGCUUCUCAGCGCCCAAAAGUUGCUCUCCCUCGUCAACCCCUUGACCGCCGACCAUCUGCCUUUCCCCCGCGAACGCCUGGACUGCAAGUGGGUGGAGCACAGGCACCGCAUCAUCUCCGAUGACGGUGCUGUUCUCUUAUACGACUUCACUCCGGACCGGCCGCGAGACGGUUUUCCGUACGGCAGAGGCAGAUUCUGCGCAUCCUUCCUGAGGCCCGGCGACAGCAAAUGGCGACAUGUUUGGUCAAACCUCAGCGGCACUGACCGGUGCUGCGCGGCCGCGUAUUUCUAUGGCUACAUCGUCUGCGUGGGCUUGGCUGACUGCCACAUCCUCUGGCCGGACUGGGUAACAUUCGCUGAAGGUUUGUACCGUUACGAAACGACCGGGCAACUGCAAGCAGCGCUGCCGGAGGAGCCCGGAAAGGUACGCCGGUGCAGCUACCUCUUGGAGGAUGACGGCAGGCUGCUGCUCGCCAGUGUUCUCCAAGAGGACGGCGGCACCGACCUGUCGGUGUCGUUGCACGAGCUGCGUCUGAGGAGCGGCGAAGAGGAGGAGCGGGUGGUAGAGUGGGCGAAGACCGACGGAUCAGACCAUUACGGCGAGGAAGUCCUUUUCUUGGGUUUCCCGGGCAGCUUCGCCGUGUGGACCGAGUGCUUCGGCGGCCGGGAGGUGAGCGGUGGCACUGCCUACUUCGUCAUUGACAACACGGCUCCGCAGCCGUGCAGCGUGUACAGGUACAACUUCCACGACGGCGGCGCCGCCACGCUGGUGGAGACUCUGCCGCCCGGAUGGCACGACGCCAGAUGCAUGUGGUUCAUACCUGCUCCUCAAAUAACCAUGUUUCCUGAGCCGGACGAAGAGCAGGAAACUCCGGCGGCGACAUGCAACGCCACUCAGUCGUCGCAACAGCUCACGAUCUACGCCAGCGAUCUGUCCCCCAAGGUGGAUAGCUCACAGCUGCGAGACAUGUUCGGCAGGCACGGCAAGGUGGCCCGCGCAAGAGUCGCCUACGACAAGCGUGGACGAUCACGAGGGUUUGGGUUUGUGACCAUGGCGACGCAGGAGGGAUUCGACAGCGCCAUGGCUGCUUUCAACGACGUGGAGCCGCACGGCAGCAGCGUCAUCAGCCCCUUCUAUUUGUUUGUCAUGUUCCUGGUUCUCUCAACGUUUUUCGCAUUAUUUUAUACCUUCACGGGCUGA